CCUCAUCUUUCACUUCUAACCCAGAAUCUUGUGAUUCCUUAACUGGUUCGGUAACAGCUGUAAUGGCUUCAUCCAGCUUUCCCUCUAUGGACCCAUCUUUGCUGGUUUCAACUAAAGCUGGGGUCUCCUCUUUUAUGUUUUCCUUUUUCUUGUUUUCUACAACUGGUUCGAUAACUUUACCAGUUUUCUCUCCCUCAGAUGAUCUUUCAGUAACUUCGGCAAUUGAAACAGCCGCCCCUUUAUCGUCCACUUUGAUUGGCUGAACUAGUUCUUUAUUUAGCACUUUUCUCUCUAUAUUCUCAUCUUCAGUUUUGCUAGUUUUUUCUUCUGUCUCUUGUCCACCAUUUUCCUGUUCCACCGUUGCCUCUUUCAAUGGUGCUUCAACUACUUCAGUCCUAUCAGUUUCCUUCUUUCCAUUCUCUGCGUCAAUUGUCUCUCUGACAUCUGGAAGAGGAGAUUCUCCUAUGCUUUCUUUACG
rnacentral:misc_RNA from 1 species